rnacentral:rRNA from 1 species
CCUACGGGUGGCAGCAGUGGGGAAUAUUGCACAAUGGGGGAAACCCUGAUGCAGCAACGCCGCGUGAGGGAAGACGGUUUUCGGAUUGUAAACUUCUGUUCUUAGUGAAGAAUAAUGACGGUAGCUAAGGAGCAAGCCACGGCUAACUACGUGCCAGCAGCCGCGGUAAUACGUAGGUGGCAAGCUUUGUCCGGAAUUACUGGGUGUAAAGGGAGCGCAGGCGGGAAGCCAAGUCAGCUGUGAAAACUACGGGCUUAACUUGUAGACUGCAGUUGAAACUGGUUUUCUUGAGUGAAGUAGAGGUUGGCGGAAUUCGGAGUGUAGCGGUGAAAUGCGUAGAUAUUCGGAGGAACACCGGUGGCGAAGGCGGCCAGCUGGACAUUAACUGACGCUGAGGCACGAAGGCCAGGGGAGCGAAAGGGAUUAGAUACCCUUGUAGUC